UACGUAGGGGGCAAGCGUUGUCCGGAUUUAUUGGGCGUAAAGAGCGUGUAGGCGGCCAGGUAGGUCUGCUGUGAAAACUCGGAGGCUUAAACCCUCGGAGCUGUCGGCGGAAACCUCUGGCUAGAGUCCGGAAGAGGAGAAUGGAAUUCCCGGUGUAGCGGGUGAAAUUCGUAGAUAAUCGGGAGGAACACCGGGUGGCGAAGGCGGGCCGA
rnacentral:rRNA from 1 species